ensembl:snRNA LOC120094533 U2 spliceosomal RNA
AUCGCUUCUCGGCCUUUUGGCUAAGAUCAAGUGUAGUCUCUUGGUGACUCUACUUGGCUGGAAUUUUAUUUCUAACAUAUCUUUUCGUAAAGAUUUAGUUUUAUUUAAUUUUAUGUGUCUGCAUGUAUGUAUGUGUAUCAUGUAUGUGCCUGGUGCCGACAGAGGUCAUCAGAUGCCCU